UUCAGCUGUGACGUGCAGGCUGCGCUGCAGGUGGUAUUUGAUGAGGAAACACCUGCAGGAGGUAAGGGCGGGGACACCGGUGUGUCACAGCAGGAACAUCGCGGCAGAGUGAGAGGGCAAGGCAAGGGGACAGCGACGGACACAUGAGAUCUUCGGGGCCCAGAGGCCUCCGAUGGAAGGAGGAGAUGCCGCCGUGGAGUCCGAGCAAAGCUGUGCCGUGAGCUGCUUUAGGUUCAGAGGUCCCGCUGGCUGGUCACGGCGGAGCGUCCGGAGAGGCGGAGAGGGCUGGGUGACGGCACCCCGGGACAGAUGUCCGCGGCACCCCAGGACAGAGGCUUCUAAGACCUGUGAACCAUAGGCACAGACUGGAAUGAGAAGUCCACACUCGGAGCUCUUCGGAUCUGGACUGGAGCGCCCACUUGCACAGAGCCCGAGUGCAGCCUGUGUGUGGAGAGAGCCCUGUCACGGGAUUUCCAGCUGUGGUGAAGGGACUCUCCCCUUGUUAGAGGCAAGUCUGGAACUCUGGAUCACACGUUGCCAACUUCUCUUGCAGGACUCGUGCCUUGGUGACCCACCCACUUCCGGUCAGUUCCCCGCAAGGAAAGGAGACCAGCGCGAUGGAGGAGAGGCGUAGGUGCGCGGGGUCUCUGAGGCCCCGCAGACACCUGCCCUGACGUCACAGCCGGGACCGCGGCCCCCGGCAGCACCGUCACGCCUGCUGUCCUGUCUGGGGGCGGGAGAGCAGGGCCGCGGAGGUCCGCAGAAGCGGGGUGCUGGCGGCUCCCGACGGCACCUGCUCCGUGUCACUCAGACGUCCGGUGCGAGCCAGGGGACCCCCGCAGUCAGCCAGCUACGCGCUGCGCUCCCCAGGAGCCGUCCGGCCGGUCCCCUGAAGACAGGUUGAAGGUGUUGCACGUCGGUUACUUCCCUUGUGUUUUUCGAACGUCCGUGCUGAUGAUUUUCAGAGAAAACUUGUAUUUAGAGCGAAGAGAAUCAACAGUAAAAUGACGCGCUGGGACUGUCCAUACAGCCGUAAACCAAAAUGCUGGAUAAAAUAAGCAAAACUGCUUAGGGGAGUCAAAGUAGUGACCACGCAAGGGUCUGCCGGGGGGAUGCUGAGUCAAAGCAGAAACAAAGCAGUUUGGUGUCCUGAGUCACACAGGAGGAGAAGCCCACCCGGGACACCCAUCCCGUCCACCCGAGGCCGCUCUGGGACGGGUCCCCGCGAGCCCAGCUCCCGACACAGACGAAUGUCCGGGGCAGCUUGGGGCCCAUGCACCUGAAAAACACAGUGGCUGGACGACGCAGGCACUUCGCUGUGUUAGGCUCUACUGACCUUCUCAUGACCUGUCACAAGGCCGAUCAUCCGCCUCCAGACCUCAGUUGACCACGGGCAGCGGAAACGGCUGCCUGAUAGAGUGGCCCAAAGCCCCCACGCUGGAUCACACGGCUGGUCUUCCCAACAGAGCUGUGGUACGUGGCCUGACCCACCCUGAAUAUACAGUAAAACCUUGGAUUACAAGCAUCUUAUUCGGCGAGCGAUCCGCAAGACGAGCAAACAUUUCAUUUCUGAUCAAGUUCGCCUUAUAAGUGAGCGAUGUCUUGCAAUGUGAGUUGCACAUGCCACCGAACAUCAGAGGAUCACAACUGAGGCAAUGGCUCUGAAAUCCGCUUGGAUAUACAACAUACAUUGGCUCUAUUCGCUUGGAAGGGUUUAGAUUACAAGCGUGUUCCUGGAGCGAAUUAUGCUCGCAAACCAAGGUUUUACUACUACUAUUCGGUACGACACAGAUUAUCUUCCCAUAGAUGAAGCAAAGGCCAGACCUCUCUGGCUGCUUUCACUCCAUGGGAAGGGAUGGGCUCGCCUCCACACACUCACCUUGAAUGGGAGCUGCAACAGACAGAAUGUCAGCCGUUGUAGUUUUUGAAGAAACUAAAAACACUGGUAAA